rnacentral:misc_RNA from 1 species
ACUAAAUUAAAACUCCAAACUCUUAAUUAAAGGAACGGCAAGAUAAACACCUUCACGAGAUGACAAGAAACAUAAUAAAAAAACAUCAGCUCUUCACAUCAUCAAACGGUGAUACUAUCUAGUACAGCAUCAAGUCAAUUUAACCAGAACAAACCGCAUUUUCAUUGUGUCGGACCUAAUCCGAAUUAGGUUGACUAAAGA